AUGGACGGGGAAUGUGUCACCCACUUUUUUGGGAACCAAUGGACCUUCUGUUGGGAGCACCGCCCUCGACAGGACACUUUCGAAGCUCCACCAGAAGGCACCAACUGCCUCAUCUGCCUUGAGCCUGUGGGGGACAGCUUGUCCUAUCACACCCUGGUGUGCCCAGUGUGCCAACAUGCCUGGUUCCACCGGGGUUGCAUCCAGCAACAGGCCUUGAGUGCUGGCGCUUUGUGCUUCCAGUGCGCCGCUUGUCGAGACAACAUCCGGUUCUUUG